ACUUUUAAAGGAUAACAGCUGUCCACUGGCCUUAGGAGCCAAGAAUAUUGGUGCAACUCCAAGUA
rnacentral:tRNA from 1 species